GGCUCAGGAUGAACGCUAGCUACAGGCUUAACACAUGCAAGUCGAGGGGAAACGACAUCGAAAGCUUGCUUCCGAUAGGCGUCGACCGGCGCACGGGUGAGUAACGCGUAUCCAACCUGCCCACCACUUGGGGAUAACCUUGCGAAAGUAAGACUAAUACCCAAUGAUAUCUCUAGAAGACAUCUGAAAGAGAUUAAAGAUUUAUCGGUGAUGGAUGGGGAUGCGUCUGAUUAGCUUGUUGGCGGGGUAACGGCCCACCAAGGCGACGAUCAGUAGGGGUUCUGAGAGGAAGGUCCCCCACAUUGGAACUGAGACACGGUCCAAACUCCUACGGGAGGCAGCAGUGAGGAAUAUUGGUCAAUGGACGAGAGUCUGAACCAGCCAAGUAGCGUGCAGGAUGACGGCCCUAUGGGUUGUAAACUGCUUUUAUAAGGGAAUAAAGUGAGAGUCGUGACUCUUUUUGCAUGUACCUUAUGAAUAAGGACCGGCUAAUUCCGUG
rnacentral:rRNA from 1 species